UACGGGGGGGGCAAGCGUUGUUCGGAAUUACUGGGCGUAAAGGGCUCGUAGGCGGCCAACUAAGUCAGACGUGAAAUCCCUCGGCUUAACCGGGGAACUGCGUCUGAUACUGGAUGGCUUGAGUUUGGGAGAGGGAUGCGGAAUUCCAGGUGUAGCGGUGAAAUGCGUAGAUAUCGGGAAGAACACCCGUGGCGAAGGCGGUUCUCUGGGACGGUACUGACGCUGAGACGCGAAAGCGUGGGGAGCGAACAGG
rnacentral:rRNA from 1 species